rnacentral:rRNA from 1 species
GGAGUCUAGCACAUAUGCGAGUUUGCGGGUGGAAAAACCCAUAGGCUCAACGAAAGUGAGUAUAAGAUGUGAAACCGCAAGGUGACAACAUCGGCCGACCUUGAACUUCUGGGAAGGGAUCGAGCAAGAGCAUAUUUGCUAGGACCCGAAAGAUGGUGAACUAUACUUGAGUAGGGUGAAGCCAGGGGAAACUCUGGUGGAAGCUCGUAGCGAUACUGACGUGCAAAAUCGUUCGUCAAAACUUGAGUAUAGGGGCGCUAGACUAAUCGAACCAUCUAGUAGCUGGUUCCCUCUGAAGUUUCUCUCAGGAUAGCAAGGACAAAUAUGUCAGUUUUAUCAGGUAAAGCGAAUGAUUAGAGGAAUCGGGGGUCCAAGACCCUUGACCUAUUCUCAAACUUUAAAUUGGUAAGAACCAUUAGUUUUCUUAAUUGAACUAGUGGGUAGAAUGCAUUGUCCUUAGUGGGCCAUUUUUGGUAAGCAGAACUGGCGAUGAGGGAUGAACCUACGCUAAGUUAAGGCGCC